rnacentral:lncRNA from 1 species
AUAAUACAGCUCAUAAUUUUAAGAUAUUAAUUUAAUAUCAAUUAAAGAAGAACAUGGGCAUUAAAAGAGAAAUGAUGGGUGUGCAUGUCCAUAAAUAAUUGAGGAUUUUAAGAUUGCAAAGAUGAGAAUGGCUAUAAGAUCGGUUUCAGUCGGUAAUACACUCCUACAUGUAACUGUAAGCUUCUCGAUUGUACAAGUUCUAUGUGAGGGCUCCUAGAUAUAUUUGUGCACCCAUGCACCCAAGUUUCACGCAUUUUCUUCUUCAAGUCAUUGUUUCAUUGUAAAUGGACAUUAGAAAUAGGCUAAUAAUCGAUAGGGCAAGAUUUGAUCUACAUGACUAUUGAUCAGUUACAAGGUUAACAUAUUUGUGGAAAGGAUGAUAGCAAAAAAAAUAUGGCUAACUCAACACCUAUUAUAUUGGAAAAUUGGAAAAUCUUCAUUCACGCUAAAGGCAAAGCCACACAUUAUCUUAGAAGAGGUUUAUGUUACCCACAUGGAACAAAUACUCCAACUCCAUAAUAUUGUAGGCUUAAAAGGACAAGGUCAUGUUAUUCGUAAUGAUGAUAGACCUUCUAUUGGAUUACAAACCACUUCACGCCACAAUAUAAAUAAGUGAAGUCAGACAUAAGAAGAUAACAAAUAUUCUCACUAUAACUUUUUUUUCUAAAUAUACACCUAUAAACAUUGACUUGAGUGUCGGACUCCCUUUUCACAUACGUAUCCAAAACGGUCAGAUAACUACCCAGAUCAGCAAGCAACCCAGAUUCCAAC